AAAAAGAUGAUGUUAUAACGUAAUAUGGCUUCUUUAAAACAUUUUACCCAUGUUCUCAAAUAUUUCGGGGCUUGCACACUCACAUUGUGUUAGUAGUAUAUCCACGGGUAGUGUUAUGACCCCAGUGAUAGUUUGACAAGGCUUCUGCACUAUCAGCGUGAAGAAACACUCAUGAGGGGUCAAUUUCGGGUGGAAGAGAGGGGUCAAUUUUGGGUGGAGAGAGGUCAGUUACGGGUGGAAGAGAGGGGUCAAUUUUGGGUGGAGAGAGGUCCGUUACGGGUGGAAGAGAGGGUUCAAUUUCGGGUGGAGAGAGGUCAGUUACGGGUGGAAGAGAGGGGUCAAUUUCGGGUGGAAGAGAGGGGUCAAUUUCGGGUGGAGAGAGGUCAGUUACGGGUGGAAGAGAGGGGUCAAUUUCGGGUGGAAGAGAGGGGUCAAUUUCGGGUGGAAGAGAGGGGUCAAUAUCGGGUGGAGAGAGGUCAGUUACGGGUGGAAGAGAGGGGUCAAUUUCGGGUGGAAGAGAGGGGUCAAUUUCGGGUGGAAGAGAGGGGUCAAUUUCGGGUGGAAGAGAGGGGUCAAUAUCGGGUGGAGAGAGGUCAGUUACGGGUGGAAGAGAGGGGUCAAUUUCGGGUGGAGAGAGGUCAGUUACGGGUGGAAGAGAGGGGUCAAUUUCGGGUGGAAGAG